rnacentral:ncRNA from 1 species
AUAGUCGCUGCCGUCGUCGGUUCCGUUUUUGGAGCCAAGAGGGAAUGCGGUGAGGGCGAACUUCCUGCCCAAAGCCGUGGCUGCCCCCGCAACUGUGUGCGGUAGUCCUCCCCAAGACCACUGAGGAUUUUCCUCGGGAAGGUGGGGAAGGGCGUGGAUCCGCGAGCCAGGAGACCUGCCGGCGACAGGAUAGUUGA